rnacentral:pre_miRNA from 1 species
UUUCAUGGAUGAGCAAAGAAAGUGAUUUCUUGAGCUAGAAUCUACUCAUGGUGCAUAUACAGUAAA